GACAACAGGAUUGGUGGGGUGUGACGUCUGACGUACACGUAGGAAAAGAAAAUACUUCCAUAUUUUCGGUAUUCAAAUUGAAAUUAUCUAAUUAUGUAAAAAGUUUAUAGAUUGUUAUAAAGAAAUGGAGGAAUAGAAACAAUAGCAAAGUCUCCAACUGCCUUUAAAACUUUUUAUUGUUCUUUCUGUUUUAUGGAUGUUGUGUGGUCUAAGUGUUAUCAGUGAUGUCGUGGUUAAGGAAAAGGGGACAAAGCACUACCCCAAGCCCUGGUUACACGGGGCCGCCAUCAGAACCAGUCCCUAUGUACAAUCCAAAUCAAGUGUUUUCCACAGAAAAUGUCACACCUUUUUAUCCGUACACUGAAAAUAGAGAAAUAGUCAGGAACAGUAGUCCCAGUUUGGCCCAGGUACAACAAAUGCAAUACAUUCCAACUCAAACAUAUGCGCCUCAAGCAACUACUCCUUUGAUACCUCAAGAAGAUAUAACGAACCCGUUUAAGAGAGCAUCUGCACAGAUGCAAAAUACUAACAACACCAUGCCAUCAAAUCAGUUCGUGCAGAAUGCUAACCCUACAAAUGAUUACUCUUCUCGUCAGCAUGCUUUCUCACAGCAUUUUAGUCAGUCGGUCAAUUUAGAAACACCGCCUGAAAACUCGGAACAACCGGAUUACAUGUCUAAUUCGGCUGCUGAAAAACCUUUUGCAAUGCAGCCGACUCUACCUCCGGCGCCCAAGGCCCCCAUGCAGCAGCCCUGGGUUGGCAACAGCGAAACUAUCAUGACCGAGAGGAAUCAAUACUUGGAGACCGGUCACCUGAGCGGCAUAGCCGAAGCUCCGCCUCCACAGGUGCGGAUGGACUACAUGACCGACUACCUAAUGGACGAGAUACUCGACAGGCCACGCCUAGAGGUGGUGGGGAGGCGUGCCUUGGACCAGAUGGAACGGAACGUGGAGAAUUGCAACGACGAGCCUCCGCCGGGUCUCAGCCGGAUGGUUUUGGGACAGAACGAGCAAAACGAGAACGGUUCGGAGGACGCUUCGAACCCUGGCUUCGACGGGAACGGCGCUAACAGCUCCUUCGAGCCGAUCAACUUCCCGUACGGUCUUCGCAGGAUGGUGCCGGGCGAAUCUAGCUCUCCGGAGAACUCGACCAGGCAGUCGACUUUCCAAUCCCAAGAUAUCAAUGUCCCAGACUCCGAUCCCGAGUUCGGCGGAGUGCCUCAGCUUAGAUCGGCUACCAUCGGCGCAGACACGCCCCCCACAACCUCUGCGCCACUGAACCAAGUAACUCUCCCCAGUGUUGGCGCCUCUGAUCGGUCCGAAACCAUCGGUGCGGCCGACGAAGGGGAAAUGCCCAGAGGAUCAAGUAUUUCACCUACUAACGGUGGGAAAAAAACAAGCAGGAAGGCUAAGGAACAAACAAACGAUUAUGUGGAAGUAGGACAACAUACUGAGUCGGAAAUCGGUUCUCUUGUAGCCAGUGUGCGUAACCUCACUGUAGGAGAGAAUUCGUCAGACGAAACGAACGAAGUCAGUGUCAAAGCCGAGCCUAGAAAGAAGGUCAGUCGACCGGAAUCUUCAGAAAGUGAGACUGAGAAAAGGGCCAAGACUCCGCCUAGAGAUAGGAAGGACAGGAGGUACAAGGGGGAGAGGAGAGAUGAUAGGAGAGAAAGGGAUAAUUAUUCGCCUGAGUCUAGAGCAAGACGUUAUGAAAGAAGGAAGUACAGAGAUAGAAAUCAUGACGAUAGUGGAGAUUAUUACAGCGAUGGCGAACGUGAUAAAACAAAACAAGAUAGGGAUUACGAUAAAAAAUAUUAUAGCUUGAGGAAGGACAAGGAGAGAGAUAGGAGACGGAAAGAAAGCCCUAGGGAGUAUGAACGAGAUGGCAGGAGAAAAAGAGAUGAAUAUUAUCAUAGAUACGAGGAUUCUUAUGAUAACGAAGAAAGGUCUAGCCGGCCUUCCAGUAGAUCUGAUUCUAUGCACGACUCCAUGUACAGGGGCAGUAGGAGGUCCGAAAAGGACUCCAGAGAUCGAAGGAGAGAUAGGCCAGCUGCUAGAGAUAGAGAGAGGGAUAAGCACAGGAGACCCAGGGAUCCCUAUAAUCCCUACAACAUGCCUGGUUACGGUGGCUACGACCCCUACAACCCAUACUACCAACAGUACCAAUACCAGUACUACGAAAAUCUGCGCAGGACCAAUCCGCAGGCUUACGCUGAGAUAUACAGGAAAUAUUACGAGCAACACGCUGCCAGGCAUCCCCCUGGUUACGCCCCAGAAGACAGGUCUUCGGUACAUUCUGGUAGGAGUUCUGUUAACGGUGAUAUGGCCAAAGACAGGUUUACCAGGCAGAGCUAUUAUAGUCAUGCGUCAAGUGUGCCAUACAUGGCAGAUUACUACGCCAGAGAUUCCCAAACAAAUAGUAUAUCAGGUCAUUACGACCUGGAUGAAUCUAGCUACUCUAGACAGAAGGACACCACCGACUCCUUCAUUCUGGAGGACUCUUCGGUGAAGGCCGGAAGGACCACGCCCGCCAAGUUCCCCACGGCCCACACCAAGGUGUCCAUUGCUUGCGGCCGGGUGGUCAAGGUACUUCCCAACUACCCGCAGGAUGGCCAACCGGCUCUGGUGGAGUUGGCCGGCCUGGGGACGUAUCUGCAGAACGACGACGAGUACAAGGAGCUGUCGCAGUACCCGGGGCCUCUGGUCAAGGGGGUGACGCACAAGAAGACUGUCAUUGAAUACUGCGAGAACAAGAUCAAGAACGUGGGCUCCAACUCGGACGUGUGCGGAGAUCCUGAUUCCUACGUGUUGAUGUGGGAGUUUUUGAUAUUGCUGUUGAGGCAGAAUGGGAAAGUAGUCGGUACUGACAUAGCGGAACUACUACUGAAGAACAGGACUGAAAAUCUGCCUGUACGACCAGCUUCCGUACUAUCCAAUAUCAGCAGUACUACCGGAGAUGUACAAGCAGUGUCCGAGACUAGCCUGCCUCAAGUAUCGGAAGGCGUCAACUUUGGCUCGAUGUCAUUGCUUAAGGAGGAAGAAGUCACGAAUAAAUUCAGGGAGUACUUGCUCUAUGGUUCGGAGCAAGAGGCUUUAGAAUGGGCGAUGAAGCACGGUCUAUGGGGACACGCCCUCUUCCUGGCCAGUAAACUGGGCAAGAGGACCCAUUCAAACGUGAUGAUCAGAUUUGCUAAUGGGUUGACGAUGAACGAUCCUCUUCAAACACUCUAUCAGCUGUUGUCUGGAAGGAUCCCGUCUGCUGUUAGCGGCGUGGCCGAGGAGAAAUGGGGCGAUUGGAAGCCACACCUGGCGAUGAUGCUGUCCAACUCAUCUCUCCAGCCCGAGCUUAACCGCAAGGCGAUCACGGCCAUGGGCGACACCCUGAUGGCCAGGGGCAGCCUGUGCGCCGCCCAGUUCUGCUACCUGAUGGCAGAGACCGGCUUCGGUCGCUACGGCGCCGACAACGUCAAGAUGGUGCUUCUCGGCUCGAACCACAACAAGCCCUUCCCCCAGUUCGCCACCAACGAGGCGGUGCACAUGACGGAGAUUUACGAGUAUGCGUGCAGCCUCAACGAUCAGGACUUCAUGCUGCCUGAGCUACAGGUUUACAAAUACCUUCUGGCGACGAGGUUGGCCAGUUUUGGACUUCUGCAGAAGUCCCUAGCCUUCCUGGAGAGGAUAGCCCUGUACAUAACGAAUAAUCCCUCUAACGUGCAAUCUAGUCUAGUGAACAACGUGUGCAAUUUGGCGGACAGGCUGAAGUAUUACGAUCUUGUCAGCGUUGAUGAUGAAGAGGAGAGCGCAGAGCAUAUGGCCGAUAACAGGUUGGACAAUACCUGGUUGAAGACGCUGAAGACGUUACAGGACAACAUCAAUUCGGGACUGAUGACGUACAACGCAAACGACAUGACGUUGACAGAUACGAUUCAGUCUGGUACAUACGGCAGCACUCUAGAUCCUGCCCGUCAGAAUGCCUGGGAUCAGCCGCAGUUAUAUCCACAGCAGUAUCAGGGUGAGGUUGGCCAGUCACCAUGGCAAUCUGACCAGCAGGCUCAGCUUGAUCCCUCUAUGGAUGGUUACGGGCAAGUUGAUCACCAGCAACUAGAAGGUUUCACUUCCUACCAAGACCAACAGUCUUACUGGUCUAACCAGCAACAGCAACAAUGGGAUGCAGGUACCAACCAGCAGAGUAACGAGAGUUUGAGCCGAGAUCAGUCGAACUAUUACGGCUCUGCGAAUACUCAGAGUGAGUCCGGAAAGGCGCAAAAUAACUCGACAGAAGAGGAGGUCAGGCCUCAGAUUUCCAUGCCGGGCCAAUCCAAGGGCAGGUCGAUAUUCGACGAGGACGAGCCUCUGCCGCACGAGAAGGCCCAGAACGACAAGCGACAGCAGCAGGCCAAGGCGGAGCCGGCCAAGCCGAAGGAGAGCUCCGGUUGGUUCGGAGGCAUCUUCAGCAAGCUGGCGCCGAAACCCAAGAACCAGAUGAAGCUGCCGGACGACAAGAAUCCGACGAUCGUGUGGGACGAAGACAAGAAGAGAUGGGUCAACGUCGACGAAGACAACAAUAAUCCGUCAACGAACGAACUCAAGCCACCACCGAAGAUGUCCGAUAUCAUGACUCCAUCGCCCAAACCUCAAAUACCUCAAGCGAACCACAACACCACCAACAAUAACAGCAACAACAACGCGAUGCCUCAAGGUUACACCAAUCCCAUGUCCUACAGUCAAAACAACAACAGCAUGAACGUCCCCCAACAGCCUCUACCGGCCAACAACAAUAACCAGCAGCCGCAGAUGGUGGGAGCUCCCAAUCAAGAUGGCCUAUCUCAACAGUCCAACAUCUUCAAGCUGCAGAAGAGUAGAAAUUUGAAAAAGUCCUACAUCGACGUCUUCAACCCAGGCGGCGUUGCAACGAAGCCGGCAGUUCCAGCGCCCCAAAUGCCAGGGUUUCCAGUGGCCAACAACAACGCACCUCAGAUGAAUUUCUUCAUUCCACAACCGGUGACCGACCCGAACGCACCAACGAACUUUCUGACUCAAGGCAACCCGGUCAUCCAGCCACAGUACGAUGAAUCUGCGCAGUUGUCUAGAUGGAGCUCGGCUAGUUCGCUAUCAAGGGAGGUUCAGUACUAUAUGCGGCAAAAGCCGCAGUUACGUCGACCUGCGCAUCGGUAGCUUAGAUGCACGUCCCCGCUUCUUUUUACCCCCUCCAUCACACACACACGUUAUGGCUUGUUGCACGCCCUCUAUACAUCGCAUUCGGUUAUGGGACGUCGCUGAAGAAUCUGGCAUCAGAAAAAUAUGGUGGUGAAUAGGAAUAGGGUUCAUGCCUGUCGUAAGCACUCUGUACAGAACUGGGUAUCUAGGUAAUCUUUCAAUUUUAAAAUGUAAUGGCUAAGCAAUUGUUCUGUUGAGAUUGUUAUGUUUAUUUUUCAAAGUUCUAUGGAUCCUGUGAUCAUGUACCUACUUUUUGAAUAAUGGUAGUUUUUAAACAUUUCAUUAUACAUAUUAAAGACAAUAUUAGAACGAUUCUAUAUUAAGGGAAUAAAAGAAUUACACGUCUUCAA